GCCAACCCCGAGUCACGUUCCCGCGGGUCGCUGGGCCCCGGCCCGUCUCUGCCGCCGCGGGGGCGCCUUCCAGCCGUUCCCAGUGCAGCGGCGUCGCGUCACGCAGUGCGGGUCGGAGCUCCGGUGUCCCCGCCUCGGCCCUCGGCCCACGAGCUACCAGAACCGGCGCCGUCUUUUCCGCGCGCGCCAGGGCGGCCCUGCUGGGGACCCGGCCCUUCGCGGGCUCCGGUGUGUCCCCCGGCCUGUCCCCCGCGAGCCUCUGCGGCUCCGGACACCGAGCAGGGCCGGGGCCUGGCCGCUGGGCGGCCCCCGCGGGGUUUUCAGAAACUCUGGCCGCGGCACCAAGGGCACUGCGCGCCCUCCCGCUGCUUUGAAGAGCAGCUGUACUAUGAUUUGUUUUCUUUUUAAAGCCUGGAGCGCUUCGCUCCAAUGAUGAUAAGGCAUAGGAUUUUCCUGGUAGUGCUUCUGUGUCUGUCAUUUGUUUACUUGUUGACACCUCCGCACGGGGGGAGAGUGACUUGGUUCCAGCACUUUUGUGUCUGGGGAAUGGCCGGGGUGUCUGCAGAUGUUUGGUGAACGUACUGAGGAGGAAAAAAGAGCUGGCGAGAGUUUCCUGCUGGGGAUGGUGACAGCAUCAAGGACCCAGAGCACGUGCCAUGAUUUCCCUGAUGGAAAAGUUCUGGCAGUCAGCAGUCUGAAAUGUUUCCCCGAGCUGACAUCGACGCGUCAGCAGGCCUGUGUUCCUUCUGGAGCCUCCAGAAGUAUCCAUCUCUGAGUCUGUUCCAGCUUCUAGAGGCUGCCUGACCUCCUCAGCUCAGCGACCCCUCCAUCUUCACACCGUCCAGAACUUUAGUACCAGAAGCAGAAGCCAAGUUUCCUCAGGUAUGUGUUACUUUAUAACCACUUCAAACAAGAGGCCAUUCUAACUGACAGUAGCUUCAAAAAGCGUCUUUCUGGUAAAUUAAAGGAGGGCAGCUGAUCACUGAAGGUAAACAGGUGAUGAAAUGCGUCAUUAGUACCUCAUCCGUAAUUCGUCUCUCCUGGAGCAGUUGACAGAGCAUCAGGUCGUGAGUCGUGGGCGCUCAGCAGUGCAGCCUCUGGGGUCAGCCAAGCAGAUUCAUUACAACCCAGUGUAAAGCGCAGCCUGUCUCUGUGUCAAUUACCGCCGUUUGAUAACGGAUAUUAUGUCAAGGUCUGUUCUUCCUCAAGAUGCAGCCACACAUUUUAAAAUCGUUACGAGUGUAAGCAUGCGCCCCAUGGCCUCGGGGUUCAGUCCAUUUGUUACAUCCCAUUAGGACGUGCAGACCCGGGCUGGGGUCUGGGGAGAGCACGGGGCCCAUGC